GACAGAGGGUGCAAACGUUUGUUCGGAAUUACUGGGCGUAAAGCGAGUGUAGGCGGUCUUAUAAGUCGGGUGUGAAAGCCCCCGGGCUCAACCCGGGAAGUGCACUCGAAACUGUGAGGCUAGAGUAUCGGAGAGGUUGGUGGAAUUCUCGGUGUAGAGGUGAAAUUCGUAGAUAUCGAGAGGAACACCGGUGGCGAAGGCGGCCAACUGGACGAAUACUGACGCUGAGACUCGAAAGCGUGGGGAGCAAACAGG
rnacentral:rRNA from 1 species